rnacentral:rRNA from 1 species
AACGAACGCUGGCGGCAGGCUUAACACAUGCAAGUCGAGCGCCCCGCAAGGGGAGCGGCAGACGGGUGAGUAACGCGUGGGAACGUACCCUUUGCUACGGAAUAGCUCCGGGAAACUGGAAUUAAUACCGUAUGUGCCCUACGGGGGAAAGAUUUAUCGGCAAAGGAUCGGCCCGCGGUGGAUUAGCUAGUUGGUGGGGUAAUGGCCUACCAAGGCGACGAUCCACAGCUGGUCUGAGAGGAUGACCAGCCACAUUGGGACUGAGACACGGCCCAAACUCCUACGGGAGGCAGCAGUGGGUAAUAUUGGACAAUGGGCGCAAGCCUGAUCCAGCCAUGCCGCGUGAGUGAUGAAGGCCUUAGGGUUGUAAAGCUCUUUCACCGGAGAAGAUAAUGACGGUAUCCGGAGAAGAAGCCCCGGCUAACUUCGUGCCAGCCGCCGCGGUAAAAC